UACAGAGGUCUCAAGCGUUGUUCGGAUUCAUUGGGCGUAAAGGGUGCGUAGGCGGCGCGGUAAGUCGGGUGUGAAAUCUCGGAGCUUAACUCCGAAACUGCAUUCGAUACUGCCGUGCUUGAGGACUGGAGAGGAGACUGGAAUUUACGGUGUAGCGGUGACAUGCGUAGAUAUCGUAAGGAAGACCAGUGGCGAAGGCGGGUCUCUGGACAGUUCCUGACGCUGAGGCACGAAGGCCAGGGGAGCAAACGGG
rnacentral:rRNA from 1 species